rnacentral:rRNA from 1 species
AGAUUAAGUUAUUAAGGGCGCACGGUGGAUGCCUUGGCACUAGAAGCCGAAGAAGGACGUUACUAACGACGAUAUGCUUUGGGUAGCUGUAAGUAAGCGUUGAUCCAGAGAUUUCCGAAUGGGGGAACCCAACAUGAGUUAUGUCAUGUUAUCGACAUGUGAAUUCAUAGCAUGUCAGAAGGCAGACCCGGAGAACUGAAACAUCUUAGUACCCGGAGGAAGAGAAAGAAAAAUCGAUUCCCUGAGUAGCGGCGAGCGAAACGGGAAGAGCCCAAACCAACAAGCUUGCUUGUUGGGGUUGUAGGACACUCUAUACGGAGUUACAAAAGAACAUGUUAGACGAAUCAUCUGGAAAGAUGAAUCAAAGAAGGUAAUAAUCCUGUAGUCGAAAACAUAUUCUCUCUUGAGUGGAUCCUGAGUACGACGGAGCACGUGAAAUUCCGUCGGAAUCUAGGAGGACCAUCUCCUAAGGCUAAAUACUCUCUAGUGACCGAUAGUGAACCAGUACCGUGAGGGAAAGGUGAAAAGUACCCCGGAAGGGGAGUGAAAGAGAACUUGAAACCGUGUGCUUACAAGUAGUCAGAGCCCGUUUAUGGGUGAUGGCGUGCCUUUUGUAGAAUGAACCGGCGAGUUACGAUCUGAUGCAAGGUUAAGCAGCGAAUGUGGAGCCGUAGCGAAAGCGAGUCUGAAUAGGGCGUUGAGUAUUUGGUCGUAGACCCGAAACCAGGUGAUCUACCCUUGGUCAGGUUGAAGUUCAGGUAACACUGAAUGGAGGACCGAACCGACUUACGUUGAAAAGUGAGCGGAUGAACUGAGGGUAGCGGAGAAAUUCCAAUCGAACUUGGAGAUAGCUGGUUCUCUCCGAAAUAGCUUUAGGGCUAGCCUCAAGUGAUGAUUAUUGGAGGUAGAGCACUGUUUGGACGAGGGGCCCCUCUCGGGUUACCGAAUUCAGACAAACUCCGAAUGCCAAUCAAUUUAACUUGGGAGUCAGAACAUGGGUGAUAAGGUCCGUGUUCGAAAGGGAAACAGCCCAGACCACCAGCUAAGGUCCCAAAAUAUAUGUUAAGUGGAAAAGGAUGUGGCGUUGCCCAGACAAC